rnacentral:rRNA from 1 species
AUUGAACGCUGGCGGCAUGCUUUACACAUGCAAGUCGAACGGUAACAGGCCGCAAGGUGCUGACGAGUGGCGAACGGGUGAGUAAUGCAUCGGAACGUGCCCAGUCGUGGGGGAUAACGCAGCGAAAGCUGCGCUAAUACCGCAUACGAUCUAUGGAUGAAAGCGGGGGACCGUAAGGCCUCGCGCGAUUGGAGCGGCCGAUGUCAGAUUAGGUAGUUGGUGGGGUAAAGGCUCACCAAGCCAACGAUCUGUAGCUGGUCUGAGAGGACGACCAGCCACACUGGGACUGAGACACGGCCCAGACUCCUAAGGGAGGCAGCAGUGGGGAAUUUUGGACAAUGGGCGCAAGCCUGAUCCAGCAAUGCCGCGUGCAGGAAGAAGGCCUUCGGGUUGUAAACUGCUUUUGUACGGAACGAAACGGUCCUGGUUAAUACCCGGGGCUAAUGACGGUACCGUAAGAAUAAGCACCGGCUAACUACGUGCCAGCCGCCGCGGUAAAAC